GAAGUGGCGGUGGCAUUUCGGAGUUUGAUGAGGCUGAGGUUAUGCUUAGCUUGUUGACUGAGGAUGUGGAUGAGGAGGUGUUUGGUGUGAGAGAGAGGAAUGGAAGGUCGUCUAAGAGGAUAGACACGGAGAAAAGGAAAAAUGGGGGUGUGAGUAAUUAUGUUGGUAAGAAGAAGAGGGACGAAUCGGGUGCUAUAGGGAGUAUGUCGAAGUAUAAAUAUGAAUAUGAAGUGAUUCUUUCGAGGAAGGAGGAGAAGAGAAGGGAAGAAGAGAGGUCGUCAUUGUUAAGGAGAGAGAGGCGAAGGACAAAUCAUAAAGAGGAUGAAAGAGCUUCUUUAUUGAGGGAGAAUCAGAGAGCUCGGACAAGAGAAGAAGAGAGGGAAGCAUUGGUUAGGAGGGAGAACCGAG
rnacentral:misc_RNA from 1 species